rnacentral:tRNA from 1 species
UUUAUUCAGGUAGAAUACUUGCCCUCUAAGCGACGUGUUGCAGGUUAGGGUCCUGCAGGGGGCGCCA